UGUUGAAGAUGCUAUUAAAUUACUUACAAAAAAAGAAAAGAGAAAGGAUAGGUUUAGUACUUGUAGAAUAAGUAGUUAUUUUCAAAAUGUAGAUACCUAGUGUAUAGUGUAAACAGGAAUAGAUAACUACUGAAAAGGUGGUUCAGUAGGUAAAAUGGAUGAAUAGUCAGGAAAAGUAAUUAUCAUCUGUAGUAUAGGAAUUGGUAUCUCAGGGUAGUAUAAGGAGGAUGGGAGAGGGGAAGAAAAUGCCAGACUACGAUAGUACUGAGCUGGGAAUAAGCUUGGUGCUAUUUCUUCUUCUUAGUUUUUUUGUUUCUUUUGUGUUAGUGUUGAUUCUAGUGAAGAGAAUCGAUUUAAUGAAUCAAUGUUUGAUUUAUAAAGUUGUUUAAGGAUCAUUGUUUAUCAAUUGUUGUGAAAGAUUGAGGACGUAUGGAAGUUUCCAGUCAUUUUUUAUCGUAAGGUUGUAAGUUCAGUAGAGAGGUAUUGUAAUCGAAGGAAUUAUCUUGAUCAGAUUCUGUGAAUUGAAAGUUGUUCGUUCCAGGAUUUGGGAUAUGCUUGUGUGUUCAUGAAUUAUACAGAGUACUAAAAUUGAUGUCGUAGAUGUUAUUGUAUUGAUAUGAGAGAGUGGACAAUAGGAAGAAAAGUUAAGUGUUCUUUGGUAUUGUAAGCAUUCAGCAGUAGCAGUUAAUUGCAUGACCCUAAUAAUUGGAGCUCAUAUACAUGGUCUUUCCCUGUGUUCGAAUUUCUUUAUAUAGGUUUAUUUUGGGAGGUUUCUUCUAGAAUAAGUAAAACGAUAAUCACAUUUUGGUGCCGCUGCCGGGAAUUGACAACAUUAUUGAGUGUUAGAAAUUAACUGUCAAAGCAAUAAAGGAGAUUAGGAAGGAAACUUAGUAGAAAUAAUGAAAGAGUAUGGUUAUUAAGAAUGAGAAUUUAACAACAAAGAGAAUAAAGCAAUCAAAGGAAAGAACAGAGUGAUUGCAAG
rnacentral:lncRNA from 1 species